GAGGCCCAAACUGAAAUCUGAGGAGCCUCAACAUUCAGAACUCAACUGGGUGCUGUGGUUCAAGCCUGUAAUCCCAGCACUUUGGGAGGACAAGGCAGGCAGAACACCUGAGGUUAGAAGUUUGAGACCAGCCUGGCCAACAUGGCCAAACCUCGUCUGUACUGAAAAUAUAAAAAUUAGCCGGGCAUGGUGGCAAGCGCCUGUAAUCCUAGCUACUCCGGAGGCUGAGGCAGAAGAAUCUCUUGAACUUGGAAGGCGGAGGUUGCAGUGAUCACACCACUGCCCUCCAGCCUGGGUGACAGAACAAGACUCUGUGUCAGAAAAAGAAAGAAAGAAAGAAAGAAAAAGCCAAAGAAAAGAACUCGAUGGAGCACAAGUAGCUGAGUAAUGCCCCAGGAAGCCGGCAUCAUUGUUGGACAGCUCAGAUGUUCAGGAUGUUUCAUUUUGAGCCUACCUCAUUGGAAUUUCAAAAUAUUGGCCUCUUUGGAGCAAUACAGAGCAAGUCUGUUCCUUCAAGCAGAUGAAAAGCUCCCUGCAUGUCUUCCACUGGACUUCUCCCCUUUAGCUUAAAACUAUCCACAGUCCUGAAACAUGGCUCAGAAGCAGAUAUUACGCAAACCCUACUCUUACAGCUCGGCCAGCCAGCCACAUGCAGGACCCCGAAGCAAAUGAGAGGCAGUGACCUGAGAAGCUACAUAUUGACAUGGUGCUACCACAGGUGGAGGAGCCUGCAUUGCUGAAUCACAGGAUGAAGGCGAAUCCCUGCCAGCCUCCAUCCGUCUCUGGGGUGCUUAGCAGAAUCCUCAGCUCACAGGAUGAAUAAAUGGAGACUAAAUGACGCACAAACAAUCACACACAACCAUCAACACGCGGAAAGACAGCAGGAUGGCCAGACCCCAAGGUAACAAACAGG